UGUGGAAUCCUCCCUCUCAUAAUGUUGUUUCUAACAUUUUAUUGGCUUGUGUACAAAUUUGUGUAUAGGUGAGAAGCAUGGGAUCAUUUAGUACC